rnacentral:rRNA from 1 species
AGAGUUUGAUCAUGGCUCAGAUUGAACGCUGGCGGCAUGCCUUACACAUGCAAGUCGAACGGCAGCACGGGAGCAAUCCUGGUGGCGAGUGGCGAACGGGUGAGUAAUACAUCGGAACGUGCCCAGUCGUGGGGGAUAACGUAGCGAAAGCUACGCUAAUACCGCAUACGAUCUGUGGAUGAAAGCGGGGGACCGUAAGGCCUCGCGCGAUUGGAGCGGCCGAUGUCAGAUUAGGUAGUUGGUGGGGUAAAGGCCCACCAAGCCGACGAUCUGUAGCUGGUCUGAGAGGACGACCAGCCACACUGGGACUGAGACACGGCCCAGACUCCUACGGGAGGCAGCAGUGGGGAAUUUUGGACAAUGGGCGCAAGCCUGAUCCAGCAAUGCCGCGUGCAGGAUGAAGGCCUUCGGGUUGUAAACUGCUUUUGUACGGAACGAAACGGCUUUUCUAAUACAGAAGGCUAAUGACGGUACCGUAAGAAUAAGCACCGGCUAACUACGUG